GAUGAACGCUGGCGGCGUGCCUAAUACAUGCAAGUCGAGCGAACGGACGAGAAGCUUGCUUCUCUGAUGUUAGCGGCGGACGGGUGAGUAACACGUGGAUAACCUACCUAUAAGACUGGGAUAACUUCGGGAAACCGUAGCUAAUACCGGAUAAUAUUUUGAACCGCAUGGUUCAAAAGUGAAAGACGGUCUUGCUGUCACUUAUAGAUGGAUCCGCGCUGCAUUAGCUAGUUGGUAAGGUAACGGCUUGCCAAGGCAACGAUGCAUAGCCGACCUGAGAGGGUGAUCGGCCACACUGGAACUGAGACACGGUCCAGACUCCUACGGGAGGCAGCAGUAGGGAAUCUUCCGCAAAGGGCGAAAGCCUGACGGAGCAACGCCGCGUGAGUGAUGAAGGUCUUCGGAUCGUAAAACUCUGUUAUUAGGGAAGAACAUAUGUGUAAGUAACUGUGCACAUCUUGACGGUACCUAAUCAGAAAGCCACGGCUAACUACGUG
rnacentral:rRNA from 1 species